UAAUAUUAAACAUUUACCUGCACCGCUAAGGACAAUCCAUAUGUAUCGUAUUUAUGCAUCGACCCCCUAGGCCUCGAGUGUGCUCUGGUGAAGACAUGUAUAGUGUCUUCGUAGCAUCUCCGGGCCCAUGAAUAGUUGUUGAACGCAUCGAUGUCGUCAACAACUUGCAAAUGAAAAAUGUCGAUGAGAGUCUUCUUGUGAUGACACAUCAUCACACUCUCGAGGAUGUAACCAGCCCAAGCUUCAAUCUAUCUAGCAUCUGGUCGCACCCCCUAAUCGCGACCAUCAAGUUGGGUAGAAGCACUGACCCAUGUCCCUGGAAGUACAUCUCGUACAGCCUAUUGCUUCUCUCAAUGGCUGUAUCGUCGCCCGUAAUCCUCAGUCUAGUAAUUAAUGUAAACUCAAACGUCGAGAAAUUGACGACCUUGCCCCCGAGGUCGAACCGGAGGGAAUCGCCGUCGACAGGCCUCAGAAGCCGAUACAAAAGUGCAUCGAUGAUCUGUCAUGAGUACUGCACCUCUCGCAAAUUGUACAGUGGCCAUAAGAAGGACUGUCGUAGCAUAUCUCUGUGUUGAUCAUUGAGCAGCUCCAACACAGCAGUAAAACUCUUAAAGCUACUGUUCCAAGAAGUCUUCCUCGCCAUCCGUCUCAACUCCCCAUCUAAAUGAUACUCCAUCAUGCAAAAAUUCAAAUGUUAGAGCAUUGAAUAACAGAUAACAAAAAAAAGCAUAAUCUCACAAAAUCAAGGGAACCGAAUUUUAAC
rnacentral:lncRNA from 1 species